UACGUAGGGUGCGAGCGUUGUCCGGAAUUAUUGGGCGUAAAGAGCUUGUAGGCGGUUUGUCGCGUCUGCUGUGAAAAUCCGGGACUCAACCCCGGACUUGCAGUGGGUACGGGCAGACUAGAGUGUGGUAGGGGAGACUGGAAUUCCUGGUGUAGCGGUGAAAUGCGCAGAUAUCAGGAGGAACACCGAUGGCGAAGGCAGGUCUCUGGGCCACUACUGACGCUGAGAAGCGAAAGCAUGGGGAGCGAACAGG
rnacentral:rRNA from 1 species